rnacentral:tRNA from 1 species
GUUUUAAUAGUUUAAAAAAAAAAACAUUAGUCUUGUAAACUAAAAAUAAAAUUUUAUUUUUUUUAAAACU